GCCAGCAUGGCAUAGUAGUUUGAACGUUGGACUAUGACUCUGGAGACCAGGGUUCGAAUCCCGGCUUGGCC